GACAGAGGGUGCAAACGUUGUUCGGAAUUACUGGGCGUAAAGCGCGUGUAGGCGGCUAAGUAAGUCGGGCGUGAAAUCCCACGGCUCAACCGUGGAAGUGCACUCGAAACUGCAUAGCUAGAGUCCUGGAGAGGAAGGUGGAAUGCUUGGUGUAGAGGUGAAAUUCGUAGAUAUCGAUAGGAACUCCGGUGGCGAAGGCGGCAUACUGGACCACCUCUGACGCUGAGGCGCGAAAGCCAGGGGAGCAAACGGG
rnacentral:rRNA from 1 species